rnacentral:rRNA from 1 species
GAUGAACGCUGGCGGCGUGCCUAAUACAUGCAAGUCGAGCGAACAGACGAGGAGCUUGCUCCUCUGACGUUAGCGGCGGACGGGUGAGUAACACGUGGAUAACCUACCUAUAAGACUGGGAUAACUUCGGGAAACCGGAGCUAAUACCGGAUAAUAUAUUGAACCGCAUGGUUCAAUAGUGAAAGACGGUUUUGCUGUCACUUAUAGAUGGAUCCGCGCCGCAUUAGCUAGUUGGUAAGGUAACGGCUUACCAAGGCAACGAUGCGUAGCCGACCUGAGAGGGGAAUCGGCCACACGGGAACUGAGACACGGCCCAGACCCCCAGGGGGGGCAGCAGUAGGGAAUUUUCCGCAAGGGGCGAAAGCCUGACGGAGAAACGCCGGGGGAGUGAUGAAGGUCUUCGGAUGGAAAAACUCUUUUAUUAGGGAAAAAAAAAUGUGUAAGUAACUAUGCACGUUUGGAGGGUACCUAAACAGAAAGCCCCGGCUAACUACGU